AUGGCUCAGUGAGGCGUUCGGACUGGCUCGGGGAGGUUGGCAACGACCACCCCAAGCCGGAAAGUUCGUCAAACUCGGUCAUUUAGAGGAAGUAAAAGUCGUAACAAGGUCUCCGUAGGUGAACCUGCGGAGGGAUCAUUACACAACAAAAUAUGAAGGCCUGGCUUCGCGGCCGGCUGAAAUAUUUUUUUCACCCAUGUCUUUUGCGCACUUGUUGUUUCCUGGGCGGGUUCGCCCGCCACCAGGACCAAACCAUAAACCUUUUUUUUAUGCAGUUGCAAUCAGCGUCAGUAAAAACAAUGUAAUUAUUACAACUUUCAACAACGGAUCUCUUGGUUCUGGCAUCGAUGAAGAACGCAGCGAAAUGCGAUACGUAGUGUGAAUUGCAGAAUUCAGUGAAUCAUCGAAUCUUUGAACGCACAUUGCGCCCUUUGGUAUUCCAAAGGGCAUGCCUGUUCGAGCGUCAUUUGUACCUUCAAGCUUUGCUUGGUGUUGGGCGUUUUUUGUCUCCCUCUUUCUGGGAGACUCGCCUUAAAACGAUUGGCAGCCGGCCUACUGGUUUCGGAGCGCAGCACAUAUUUUGCGCUUUGUAUCAGGAGAAAAGGACGGUAAUCCAUCAAGACUCUACAUUUUUAACUUUUGACCUCGGAUCAGGUAGGGAUACCCGCUGAAC
rnacentral:sRNA from 1 species